rnacentral:rRNA from 1 species
AUCAAAAAUUAUGGUUGUUUACAAUGAUACGUGGUUGGUACAUGGAUAGGAGACCACCUGGGAAUACCAGCUGCUGUUGAUA